AGGCGGUUCUCUACGAGGCCCGCCAUCGGAAUGGGUACAAUUUAAAUCCUUUAACGAGGAUCUAUUGGAGGGCAAGUCUGGUGCCAGCAGCCGCGGUAAUUCCAGCUCCAAUAGCGUAUAUUAAAGUUGUUGCGGUUAAAAAGCUCGUAGUUGGAUCUGCGGUCAAGGAAUGUGGUCCUCCGACGGAUGGUUACUGCUUUUCCUGACCUAACUACUUCGGUUUUCCCUUGAUGCUCUUAACCGAGUGUCUUGGGCGACCGAAACGUUUACUUUGAAAAAAUUAGAGUGCUCAAAGCAGGCGUUCAGCCUGAAUAGUGGUGCAUGGAAUAAUAAAAGAGGAUCUCGGUACUAUUUUGUUGGUAUUGGAUUGAGAUAAUGAUCGACGGGGAUAGACGGGGGCAUUCGUAUUGCGACGUUAGAGGUGAAAUUCUUGGAUCGUCGCCAGACGAACAACUGCGAAGGCAUUUGCCAAGAAUAUGCUCUUCAAUCAAGAACGAAAGCGAGAGGCGCGAACGCGAUCAGAUACCGCGGUAGUUCUCGCCGUAAACGAUGCCAACUAGCGAUCCGCCGGAGUUAAAUGAUGACUCGGCGGGCAGCUUCCGGGAGACCAAAGUUUUUGGGUUCCGGGGGAAGUAUGGUUGCAAAGCUGAAACUUAAAGGAAUUGACGGAAGGGCACCACCAGGAGUGGAGCCUGCGGCUUAAUUUGACCCAACACGGGGAAACUCACCCGGCCCGGACACCGUAAGGAUUGACAGAUUGAGAGCUCUUUCUUGAUUCGGUGGGUGGUGGUGCAUGGCCGUUCUUAGUUGGUGGAGCGAUUUGUCUGGUUAAUUCCGAUAACGAACGAGACUCUAGCCUGCUAAAUAGACAGUGAAUCGUUAGUUCACUGUACUUCUUAGAGGGACAAGCGGCUUCUAGCUGCACGAGAUUGAGCAAUAACAGGUCUGUGAUGCCCUUAGAUGUUCGGGGCUGCACGCGCGCUACACUGAAGGAAUCAACAUGCAUUCUACCUUACCCGAAAGGGUUUGGUAACCCGUUGAAACUCCUUCGUGAUUGGGAUAGGGACUUGCAAUUAUGGCCCUUGAACGAGGAAUUCCCAGUAAGUGCGGGUCAUCAGCUCGCGUUGAUUACGUCCCUGCCCUUUGUACACACCGCCCGUCGCUACUACCGAUUGGAUGUUACAUUGAACUGUUCGGACCGAUGUCGAAGCGGCUUCACGGCUGCUUCGGUCGUUUGGAAAGAUCCGUUAGAUCUGACAUCUAGAGGAAGUAAA
rnacentral:rRNA from 1 species